GACAGAGGUGCCGAGCGUUAGGCGGAAUCACUGGGCUUAAAGCGUGUGUAGGCGGGUCGUUAAGUGUCUUGUGAAAUCCCCCGGCUCAACCGUGGAAUGGCUGGGCAUACUGGCGAUCUUGAGCAGUCUAGGGGCAGAUGGAACAAGUGGUGGAGCGGUGAAAUGCGUAGAUAUCACUUGGAACGCCAAAGGUGAAAACAGUCUGCUGGGGACUUGCUGACGCUGAGACACGAAAGCCAGGGGAGCGAACGGG
rnacentral:rRNA from 1 species